AGUGAACGCUGGCGGUAGGCCUAACACAUGCAAGUCGAACAGCAGCACAGGAGAGCUUGCUCUCUGGGUGGCGAGUGGCGGACGGGUGAGGAAUACAUCGGAAUCUACUCUGUCGUGGGGGAUAACGUAGGGAAACUUACGCUAAUACCGCAUACGACCUACGGGUGAAAGCAGGGGAUCUUCGGACCUUGCGCGAUUGAAUGAGCCGAUGUCGGAUUCGCUAGUUGGCGGGGUAAAGUCCCACCAAGGCGACGAACCGUAGCUGGUCUGAGAGGAUGAUCAGCCACACUGGAACUGAGAGACGGUCCAGACUCCUACGGGAGGCAGCAGUGGGGAAUAUUGGACAAUGGGCGCAAGCCUGAUCCAGCCAUACCGCGUGGGUGAAGAAGGCCUUCGGGUUGUAAAGCCCUUUUGUUGGGAAAGAAAUCCAGCUGGCUAAUACCCGGUUGGGAUGACGGUACCCAAAGAAUAAGCACCGGCUAACUUCGUGCCAGCAGCCGCCGUAA
rnacentral:rRNA from 1 species